rnacentral:tRNA from 1 species
GGGCAUUUGGCACAGUGGUAGCGCGCAUGCUUUGCAUGCAUGAGGUCGAGGGUUCAAACCCCUCAAUGUCCA